CCCGAUACAAUUUUUCUCAAGAAUAUCAUAUAGAUUUUCCCUACUUCAGGUAUGUUAAGGCUAUCUCUUGUUUCUUUUGACACGAUCCAUACGACACGAACGAAACGUGCAAAUGCACAAAUUCCAUAUAUGAAUAGAAGUACCUAUGUUCUUGAAUUUUCAUAUGUCUUAUUAUUUUUUUAUUUUUUUUGGCAAUCUGCUAGGCAUGCACCUAGGGCUAGAUUUUAUAUAUAUAAAAAUAAGAAAUACAAAUGUCUUGAUGUCCUACGAAAUGUAAAGCAUAAACUUUGUAAAAUACAUGUACCCUAUUAUCAAAAUUGAGUAGAUCACUCAAAAUUGAUAUCACAAGUAUUACUAAUCAUUGUAUAGUAAAAUUAGCCCAUGAAUUAAACCUAUUACUGAUAAAAUUUGCCAAAUUAAAAGCUAGUCCACUGAUUAGUAUCUCCGCAGCCACUUUGCUCAACAAAUUCUUCCCAGGUUGAUAGAAACCUUUGUUUUGAUUGCCAUCCCAUCGGAGCUUUGUCAGUAGAAGACGCUAAUCCAGUGUCGAAUCUCCAGGCCUUCGUUAGUGCUUACAAACUGAAGAUUACCAUGUGAUGCCCCAUUCCCCAAAUCUCCUCUAAUGCUCACUGUCACAGUAGCAAUGAGCAUGUGUAUUCUCUAGCACUUUGCUCCAGCACCACAUCCCACGCGUAUACUAUUUUCCUUCGAUCCCCUUCCUGUUCCUGCGCUGAAAAUGUGAGCACUGACCAUUGUUUAAUCACUGGCCCUUAUUUAAUUACAGCUUUUGUCGAAAACAGAGCUGAAAUUUUCUCAAGAUCCUGCUUCUCGAAAUCAUGCCUGCAUUCAAAAGAACAAUUGCAGCCAUUAACAGGCGUAAUCCUAUUCCCAAGUUAGUCGCAAACGUUGCAGGCGUGCAUCCAGUCAUAGUAUACUGCAUUUCAUCUACGUGUAUGACUACACUCGAGUUACUUUCAGUAGUAACUGUUGGACAUAAUCUGCCUUAAAUUGCAUCCCUGUGGUCGCACAUGCUGUAAUCCAGCUUUUCUCGAAUUGUGCAAAUUAAGUGCAUGCUCAAAUGUCCAAAGCAUUCUUGUUUAGCAUGUUUUACAUUUCCAGCGUGCAUUUCCAUGUGAAAACAAGCGUGCAUCCCUGUUGGAAAUUAAAAUGUCCUCCAAAGAAAGCACUGCCCAGCUGCUUUGGUUUUGAAAACUGCCAGCAUCCAUACGUGCCUCGUGUUUCCUUCCAUAGGCAAGCUCCAAAUCGCAGGCUUGUAAAAAAGAAUUAAAAAUUGGACAAUAGCACUUCGAAUGAAAAGCUAAAUUGUGCACUGUAUUAAAAAUACCCACGACGCACAGUACUGUUGUUGCCCAUGAUGCAUCGUGCAAUGUAUUAAACAGUGAAGCACACGAUGCAUUGUACUGUUUUUGCCUAUUUUUAAAUCCCUUCCAUUGGAAUGAAUGCAUGGCAUUAAUACCACUAAUUGAAAGUUCAUUAAAAAAUAUGCAUAGAGUGUCGUGACAUUUGCAUAUGUAAUCUGCAUUUUCCAAGGAAACAGGCGUGCAUAAGACACUAGAUAUCCAAUCAGCUAGAAGCAUUCUUUCAUUUAAAAAUGAUAGAAGCAUGCGUGCAUUCCAUCUCUCGGAUGAACCAUUCGUGCAUUUAAAAAUCAAAAACUGCAUCGGCCUUUGUUUCCAGUUUUUCUCGAAUUCAUGCGAGCUCCACAUGCUUGUUGUGUUUCCAAUGCCUUUAGCAUCUUGUCAAAAGCUUAAGCUCAGCAUCACUCCAAUCUAAUAAACGCUGCAUUUGUUUUUGUUUAAUGUUCAAAUUAUCCUCGAAAUUAAACAUUUUUGCACCAAGGUUGUUGUAUAUCCAAGGAAUUGAAUGCACGCUUGCACCCUAUGCUGAAUUUGUUUCCAAUGCCUUAGGCCAUUCCUUUUGUGCUCGAUUAUUGUAGUGCUUUUGUUCUUUAUUAGAUGUUGUCUCUAAAUGUUGCAAAAGUGAAUGCCAUAAGCAUUGUGAUACUUUAGGGGGUAUCACAACUUGUGCAUUAGACUCAACUUCACUGCCCCAUGUAAAAGAGUUGGGCAUUCUGUUCCUUUGUUCCCUGCUUGUGUUUAUCAUGAUAUCUCUUUCAAGGGAUUGAGUACCAUGUACUAAUACCACCCAUUGAAAUUGACAAUCAUGAUAAGUCAUUUCCACAUUACCAUUUCCUGCACAAAAACACCAAAUGUUAGUAUAACAGAAGAUCAUCAAGAUCUCUUCCCAUAGGAUUCGACCCUACUGAUCAGUUAAGUCCAGUCCGUUUCUCCUCCUCAUUUUGCCUUUGUUCCACUCCAUAUUUAUCUCCUUUUUGGCUUUGAUCCUUCCCCUUUUCCUCCUAAUUCCUUGCAACCUUCACUCUUAUGUAAGGAUAUUGCAUCUUAUCUUCGUUAAUAAUCCUCCUUCCUUUUGAGUCCAUAUCCCAGAAACCAUGGCAUUCAGUAUUUCCUUCAUAUAGAGCAUAAUUGGCAAGGUGGUCCGCUAAUGUAUUCCCUUAUCUGAAUAUGUGUGUGACCUUGAUGAUACUUUGUUCCUUCAAUCUUAAAAUCUCCUCUACAUGUUCAGUAAUAUACCAAGGAGGCUUCCAUGAUUCCUCUAUAAUGUUCUUUAAUAGCAUAGAAUCUGUCUGCAGCCAUAUCUGGAAAUAAUUAAAAAAAUUGCACAUCUUCAAUGCCUCCACAAUAGCUACCGCUUCUGAUUCAUUGUUGGUUCCUUCAGAAAUCUCUCUUCCUUCUACAUAUAUCAAAUCACCUACCUCAUCCCUUAUGCAGAAACCAAUUGAACUCCUCCCUGGGUUCCCUCUACAUGCUCCAUCCGUAUUCACUUUGAUCCAUCCUCUUGAAGGAAAUUCCCAUAAAACUUUAUCAUAUUUUAGUCGAGGUGUGUAUUGCUCCAUCAUUGUUAGUAAGUCCAGCCACUUCUAAGGCACACGUAGUCCAGGCUUUUUUAGUUGGACCAGUGCUUGCACAGUAGACGACACCUGGUAAAUAACUCUGCUCACUGACACUGCUUCUCCAUAUUUCAAACUAUUUCUUCUCUUCCAAAGUUCCCAUACAAUGCAUGCAGGUAAAGCUUGUAAUACGAGCUUCAAUCUAGGUACAACUGGUGCUGUCCAACACUUUGUAAUUGCUUGAUGUAAUGGCAACCCAUCUAAUGCAAUUCCUGCUCUCCUUAGGAAGUAAGUCCAAACACUUCUAGUUGCAUUGGAUGUGAAGAACAGAUGUAGUAAUGACUCUUCCUUAGGAUCAGCACAACACCAACAUUUAGAUGGCAUAGAGUAUCCUAGUUUACGCAAGAAAUCAUCAAGUGGCAGUUUGGCUUUCCACACCUUCCACAGGAAGAAGGAUAUCUUGAAAGGUAAACCUUUUACCCAUAUCAUCUUGUAAGAUAAUCUUGGGUUGGCUCUUCUUCGCACGUAAUCCCAUGCAGACUUUACUGUAAAAUGUCCCCUUGUUUCAAGCAUCCAGAAAGGAGUAUCUAACUAUGAACUAUCAGUUGGUGGUCUAAUAUUCUGCACAAUGUGGUGUGCCAAAUCUUCAGGUACUUGAAAAUAUAAGGCUCCAUCUCAGUCCAAUUGUCGAACCAGAAUAGAGCUGAUCCCAUUCUCAGUUUCCAGUCGAUUUGAUGCUCAAUCAAGUCCCUACAUUCUAGCAUUUUUCUCCAUGCAUGGGAUCCACCUUUCCAAGAACAGUGCCUUGGAUACAUCUUGUAGGGACCUGAAACCUAUGCCUCCAUCCUCAUAAGGCAUACAAAGGAUACUCUGCAGGACAUUUGCGAUCAAAACCGCUCUGCCUCCUACAGAUAGGAGUUUGCCUUUCCAUGACUGCAGUUUGUCCAUAACCUUGGUGAUUAAUCCCUGGUAUUAGUCUCCCCUUCUUCUUGCAUAAAAAAUAGGACAUCCGAGAUAGGUCAUAGGGAAACCU